rnacentral:misc_RNA from 1 species
CCUGUGUUGCUUACCCCGUAAAGGAAUUCGAUGGUUUUGGUGUCCCCAUCCGCCUUGCGCCCCUUCGGGGUGCGGGGUGGACGUGGGGCGGGCUCCGUGUUCCCCGUGUGUCGAGCGUGUUGACGCUCGGCCGCUGUGGCCCAUGGGGUCUCGCCCGUGCUCUCGGAUGCGGAAUGCUGUGUGUGGGCGUGGGGUCUCGGCCUCUGCUCGUCCGAGCUGCACGCAUUGUCCCUUGACAUGAACGACUGUCGCGUCCGUCUUGAUCGGCCGACCGUGCCCCCGUCGCGGGGCUCCGGGAGGGCGUCUCAUGCGGGCGUCGGCGUCGGAGAGGAAUGC